rnacentral:rRNA from 1 species
UACGUAGGGUGCGAGCGUUGUCCGGAAUUAUUGGGCGUAAAGAGCUCGUAGGCGGUGUGUCACGUCGGCCGUGAAAACCUGGGGCUUAACUCUGGGCGUGCGGUCGAUACGGGCAUCACUAGAGUUCGGCAGGGGAGACUGGAAUUCCUGGUGUAGCGGUGAAAUGCGCAGAUAUCAGGAGGAACACCGGUGGCGAAGGCGGGUCUCUGGGCCGAUACUGACGCUGAGUAGCGAAAGCAUGGGGAGCAAACAGG